rnacentral:misc_RNA from 1 species
CUGUGACUGCAGACGUGAGUAGACCAACUGAGGAGCACAGCUGUCAGAGAACCAGCGCACCCAAAAGAAAGAGGGGCGGCGGAUUCGAAAUGAGCGCCCAUGGUCCAUCGGAAGUCGCCGCCGCCGCAGAGUCGACACCGAUAUCGUCUUCGUUGUCGUCUUCUUCGCCAUCUUCCUCACUUCCAGCACCUAGUGCUGUGGGAACGCUCCCGGCCUGCUGCACUGAAGCCUUCAAGGAGCACUACAGAAGAGGCGAGGUGCCCCGGUUCGGCUGCUACGAUCCGGUGUAUCUCCGCCAAGCGUUCGAUACCUCACCGACGCUUGACUCCGCGAUGCGUAACCCAACGCACGCGAGCUUUUUUCCUCCCUUCUCGUAUCUUGUUCGCACCUACGCUGAUCAUGGCGCCGCGUCGUCCUCCUCGCCUCUCGCCAGCCGCAUCGCGGGUGGUGCACCCGCGGUGGAUGAGGAUGCAGAUCAGGACGCCGUGACACUGACGGCGGAUCGUGCGCGACCGGUGCACAGCUGGGAGCACAUCACGAGCGCGGAGGACAUGUGGAACGGGCCACCGCUGACCAUGAAGGUGCCUCCUGCCUCGGAUUAUGAGCGCAUCUUGCUGGAUCGUCCACCACGAGAUGCCUGAGCAGUAGAGGCCCUAUCCUAGUCGUUGCGCAGGGUACAGUGCUCAAGUGGCGGUCGCCUGUUUCCUUUCCUUUUUUCGUGUGUCUUCUCGACGUACUGUUGUCGUCGUUGCGUUGGUUGCAUAAAGUGUGGCAGAUGUGUGCGGCACGCUGGCUUGCGGUGGCGAGGCGCCUGCAGUCAUGUGCCCACGCGGCACACCCUUGAGCGCCUCCGUACACUCUUUCGAUCAAAAGGAAAGAGUGUUGGCUGCCGCUUCACCGGCAUGGCCCCGUAUGCGCACCCUAGCCAAGCGCGGCUUAAGAGUGGACUCAUGCUUCUCUACCUCAAAAAUGGACUCUCUCUUGUCUUGUCUUGGCGGAGCGCUUCCUCACGUACGUGCACACGAACAUGUGUCUGUGCCUGUGCGUGCGCGCCCCUUUUGCACGCAACAUCUUCGCGGUCGCGUCCGACGUUGCCGUGCCGUUCAC